UACGUAGGGGGCAAGCGUUGUCCGGAUUUAUUGGGCGUAAAGAGCGUGUAGGCGGUUUGGUAGGUCGGCUGUGAAAACUCGAGGCUCAACCUCGAGACGCCGGUGGAAACCAUCAGACUAGAGUCCGGAAGAGGAGAGUGGAAUUCCUGGUGUAGCGGUGAAAUGCGCAGAUAUCAGGAAGAACACCCGUGGCUAAGGCGGCUCUCUAGUACGGUACUGACGCUGAGACGCGAAAGCGUGGGGAGCGAACAGG
rnacentral:rRNA from 1 species